rnacentral:lncRNA from 1 species
GUAUCAAAUAGUUUCGAGCGGAAUACAAGUUGGAUCCAGCUCGCUCACAUUCAGUUCAUUGACGGUCCUACUCUCAAUAGUCACGCAUGCUUAGUUCAAUUCUUAUACGUACCCGCCAUCUAUUGGCGUAAGUUUUCAUCUGUUAGUGGUUAAUUACUGUCCAUCACGCGGGCCGAUGAAUAAAAAUAUUAAAAUAUCUUUAAAUUCUUUUCUUCCAGAUCAAUAUUUUGACUAACAAUCUAUACUUUCCUAUAAAAUUCUACACAA